GGCGACUUGGCCGAGUGGUUAUGGCGCAAGUUUCAGGAUUAAAUGCAAAUAAUCUUACUUGUUCGAAAGAGCGAGGGUUCGAAUCCCUCAGUCGUCA
rnacentral:tRNA from 1 species